CCAGUACCGUGAGGGAAAGGCGAAAAGAACCCCGGCGAGGGGAGUGAAAAAGAACCUGAAACCGUGUACGUACAAGCAGUGGGAGCCUCUUAAUGGGGUGACUGCGUACCUUUUGUAUAAUGGGUCAGCGACUUAUAUUCUGUAGCAAGGUUAACCGAAUAGGGGAGCCGAAGGGAAACCGAGUCUUAACUGGGCGUUAAGUUGCAGGGUAUAGACCCGAAACCCGGUGAUCUAGCCAUGGGCAGGUUGAAGGUUGGGUAACACUAACUGGAGGACCGAACCGACUAAUGUUGAAAAAUUAGCGGAUGACUUGUGGCUGGGGGUGAAAGGCCAAUCAAACCGGGAGAUAGCUGGUUCUCCCCGAAAGCUAUUUAGGUAGCGCCUCGUGAAUUCAUCUCCGGGGGUAGAGCACUGUUUCGGCAAGGGGGUCAUCCCGACUUACCAACCCGAUGCAAACUGCGAAUACCGGAGAAUGUUAUCACGGGAGACACACGGCGGGUGCUAACGUCCGUCGUGAAGAGGGAAACAACCCAGACCGCCAGCUAAGGUCCCAAAGUCAUGGUUAAGUGGGAAACG
rnacentral:rRNA from 1 species